AUCUGUGUUUGUAUAUGCCAGUGUGUGUAUCUUUGUGUCAGUGUGUAUCUGUGUGUGUGUGUGUGUGUGUGUGUAUCUGACACACAUGCACAUAGUGGAACACAGAUACACACUGACACACAGACACACACACCUUGACACACAGAUA